rnacentral:rRNA from 1 species
UUAGUGGCGGACGGGUGAGUAACGCGUGAGGAAGUCUGGCCCUCGAAGUGGGGAAUAACACCGAGAAAUCGGUGCUAAUACCGCAUAACGUCUUCGGAUCGCAUGUUCUGAAGACCAAAGGAUUUAUUCGGCUUGAGGAUGAUCUCGCGUCCGAUUAGUUAGUUGGUGAGGUAACGGCUCACCAAGACCGCGAUCGGUAGCCGAACUGAGAGGUUGAUCGGCCACAUUGGGACUGAGACACGGCCCAGACUCCUACGGGAGGCAGCAGUGGGGAAUAUUGGGCAAUGGGCGAAAAAGCCUGACCCAGCAAUGCCGCGUGAAGGAUGAAGGUCCUUCGGGUUGUAAACUUCUUUGAUUGGGGAAGAACAAAGUGACCUACCAAAGAACAAGUCACGGCUAACUACGUGCCAGCCGCCGC